AGUGAACGCUGGCGGUAGGCCUAACACAUGCAAGUCGAACGGCAGCACAGUAAGAGCUUGCUCUUACGGGUGGCGAGUGGCGGACGGGUGAGGAAUACAUCGGAAUCUACUUUUUCGUGGGGGAUAACGUAGGGAAACUUACGCUAAUACCGCAUACGACCUACGGGUGAAAGCAGGGGAUCUUCGGACCUUGCGCGAUUGAAUGAGCCGAUGUCGGAUUAGCUAGUUGGCGGGGUAAAGGCCCACCAAGGCGACGAUCCGUAGCUGGUCUGAGAGGAUGAUCAGGCACACUGGAACUGGGACACGGUCCAGACUCCUACGGGAGGCAGCAGUGGGGAAUAUUGGACAAUGGGCGCAAGCCUGAUCCAGCCAUACCGCGUGGGUGAAGAAGGCCUUCCGGUUGUAAAGCCCUUUUGUUGGGAAAGAAAAGCAGCAGGUUAAUACCCCGCUGUUCUGACGGUACCCAAAGAAUAAGCACCGGCUAACUUCGUG
rnacentral:rRNA from 1 species